UACAGAGGUCCCAAGCGUUGUUCGGAUUCACUGGGCGUAAAGGGUGCGUAGGCGGUCGGGUAAGUCUGAUGUGAAAUCUCGGGGCUUAACCCCGAAACUGCAUUGGAUACUAUUCGGCUUGAGGAAUGGAGGGGAGACUGGAAUGCUCGGUGUAGCAGUGAAAUGCGUAGAUAUCGAGCGGAACACCAGUGGCGAAGGCGGCAUCCUGGACCGAGAUUGACGCUGAGGCGCGAAAGCCAGGGGAGCAAACGGG
rnacentral:rRNA from 1 species